GAGAAAAAUAGUCCUGCCCUGUCCGUUUGUUGUGAGGAGUCCAUGAAUUCACGCAUGCAAAAUAACCUACAUGGCACAUGGACAAUCUUGACUGUCGUGCUGCCUGCCCCCUUCGGUCGGAAGUGGCGAGGGAUGAAGCCCAGAGGAGAGCUGAGGCCAGUGGGGGCUGGGGUGCCCAGGCCUCUCUUUCUCCCACUGUCCCCUGAACACGGAUCCUGGGAAUGUCUCUGCAAAUGGCAGGAAGGAUGGGGAUCACUGAUGGGCCAGUACCAGCAGGGGAGCAGCAAGACAGGGGCUGCAGUGAGGCCUGCAGCUAGACACCACCAGGACUUCCCAGUAAAGAGAGUCACAUGCCAGGGAUGGAAAGAUCUGGAUGCAGCCUAAGACGUUCUCAGACAGUGGAUCUUUGAAAACUCUCAGAACGGUGGUUUGGGAAUCCUGCCUCCACCAAGCCCUUCUGAGGCCUGUCAGAGCCAGGGCCUUGGGACUGGAGUGAACAAAGCCCCUUCCUGCCCAGAUAGUCUCUGAGUCAGAGACUGGCCAGACUGACCCCACAGGAGCUCCCAGGAAACUAUCUCAGGCCCCGGCAGAGGCCCAGGUACAUAGGAGGCUCCCAGGAAAUGCUUGUCAAGUGGAAGAGUGGCAAGACGGAAUCGAGGAGCCCAACCCUUUAAUGGGACUUGCUUACGU